rnacentral:rRNA from 1 species
AGCAGCCGCGGUAAUUCCAGCUCCAAUAGCGUAUAUUAAAGUUGUUGCAGUUAAAAAGCUCGUAGUUGAAUUUCGGAAUCAGUACGCUGGUCGUGCCUUCGGUAUGUACUGGUGUCACUGGUUUCUCCCUUCUGAAGAACCAUCAUGCCAUUCACUUGGUGUGGUGGGAAAUCAGGACUGUUACUUUGAAAAAAUUAGAGUGUUUAAAGCAGGCUCGCGCUUGAAUACAUUAGCAUGGAAUAAUGAAAUAGGACGUUAAUCCUAUUUUGUUGGUUUCU